ACUGGACUAAGAACUCUCGCCUGCG
rnacentral:sRNA from 1 species